rnacentral:sRNA from 5 species
AUAUCUCUCCGUACGGGAAGGAUGAGAAGCUUCGACUAAGGUUCGAUUCGAGCGCAGCGAGAACGCGUUGCCGCAGGCAACGACCCGAAGGGCGAAGCGC